UCGGCAAUGGACGAAAGUCUGACCGAGCAACGCCGCGUGAGUGAAGAAGGUUUUCGGAUCGUAAAGCUCUGUUGUAAGUCAAGAACGUGUGUGAGAGUGGAAAGUUCACACAGUGACGGUAGCUUACCAGAAAGGGACGGCUAACUACGUGCCAGCAGCCGCGGUAAUACGUAGGUCCCGAGCGUUGUCCGGAUUUAUUGGGCGUAAAGGGAGCGCAGGCGGUCAGGAAAGUCUGGAGUAAAAGGCUAUGGCUCAACCAUAGUGUGCUCUGGAAACUGUCUGACUUGAGUGCAGAAGGGGAGAGUGGAAUUCCAUGUGUAGCGGUGAAAUGCGUAGAUAUAUGGAGGAACACCAGUGGCGAAAGCGGCUCUCUGGUCUGUCACUGACGCUGAGGCUCGACAGCGUGGGUAGCGAACAGGAUUAGAUACCCUGGUAGUCCACGCCGUAAACGAUGAGUGCUAGGUGUUACGCCCUUUCCGGGGCUUAGUGCCGGAGCUAACGCAAUAAGCACUCCGCCUGGGGAGUACGACCGCAAGGUUGAAACUCAAAGGAAUUGACGGGGGCCCGCACAAGCGGUGGAGCAUGUGGUUUAAUUCGAAGC
rnacentral:rRNA from 1 species